AGCUCCAAUAGCGUAUAUUAAAGUUGUUGCGGUAAAAAGCUCGUAGUUGGAUUUCUGCUGAGGAUGGGCGGUCCGCUCACUGAGCGUGUAUCUGCUUCAGCCUUGGCAUCCUCUCGUUAAUCGUUUCUGCGCUUGAUUGCGUGGGGCGGGUGGCGGGACUUUUACUUUGAGGAAAUUAGAGUGUUCACGGCAGGCUAUCGCCAGAAUACAUUAGCAUGGAAUAAUACUAUAGGAUCUUGGUCCUAUUUUGUUGGUUUCUAGGAUUGAGAUAAUGAUUAAUAGGGACAAUUGGGGGCAUUCGUAUCAACACGUCAGAGGUGGAAUUCUUGGAUUGUGUUGCGACGAACUACUGCGAAAGCAUUUGCCAAGGAUGUUUUCA
rnacentral:rRNA from 1 species